rnacentral:lncRNA from 1 species
GGCUCUAGUGGGUUGGGCCUUGCUGGCGUGAGUGUUGCCAGUGACUUGGACGGGGCUGUGCGGGUCGUGCACAACUCCACCCGACCUGUCCUUCUUGGCUGCUCCACCCUCGUCUUCACAUCAAGCCUUCACCUCCGCCCUCAGCCCCUCACCCCUGCCCUCUGCCAUCCCAUCACCUCCGCCCUCAGCUCCCCACCCCGCCCUCUGCCAUCCCAUCACCUCUGCCCUCAGCUCCCCACCCCUGCCCUCUGCCAUCCCAUCACCUCCGCCCUCAGCUCCUCACCCCUGCCUCUGCCAUCCCAUCACUCCACCCUCAGCUCCCCACCCCUGCCCUCUGCCAUCCUUCACCUCCGCCCUCAGCUCCCCACCCCUGCCCUCUGCCAUCCCAUCACCUCCGCCCUCAGCUCCCCACCCCUGCCCUCUGCCAUCCCAUCACCUCCGCCCUCAGCUCCCCACCCCUGCCCUCUGCCAUCCCAUCACCUGCACCCUCAGCUCCUCACCCCUGCCCUCUGCCAUCCCAUCACCUCCACCCUCAGCUCCCCACCCCUGCCCUCUGCCAUCCCAUCACCUCGCCCUCAACUCCCCACCCCUGCCCUCUGCCAUCCCAUCACCUCGCCCUCAGCUCCUCACCCCUGCCCUCUGCCAUCCUAUCACCUCUGCCCUCAGCUCCUCACCCCUGCCCUCUGCCAUCCCAUCACCUGCACCCUCAGCUCCUCACCCCUGCCCUCUGCCAUCCCAUCACCUGCACCCUCAGCUCCUCACCCCUGCCCUCUGCCAUCCCAUCACCUGCACCCUCAGCUCCUCACCCCUGCCCUCUGCCAUCCCAUCACCUGCACCCUCAGUUCCUCACCCCUGCCCUCUGCCAUCCCAUCACCUGCACCCUCAGCUCCUCACCCCUGCUCUCUGCCAUCCCAUCACCUGCACCCUCAGCUCCUCACCCCUGCCUCUGCCAUCCCAUCACCUCCGCCCUCAGUCCUCACCCCUGCCCUCUGCCAUCCCAUCACCUCCGCCCUCAGUCCUCACCCGCGCCCUCUGCCUUGGUCUCUGACGCUGGCACACGCUGGCAGGACUCCCUCCUGCACGGUCCCCUCCUGUCUUUCUCAGUCUCACACACUCCUUUUCAGAUGCACCUGUCACAUUAGCUUAGGAGCGGGGACAGCAGGGCCAGAGGAUGUGCCAGGGUGGCCGGCAAUGCCCACGGGCUUUGACAGACGCACCUGA